AUUUGAUGGCGACCGGCGAACGGGUGCGUAACGCGUAUGCAACCUACCUUUUACUAGAGAAUAGCCAAGAGAAAUUUUGAUUAAUGCUCUAUACACUUUAAGACUCACAUGAGUCUAAAAGAAAAGCUCCGGCGGUAAAAGAUGGGCAUGCGUUCUAUUAGCUUGUAGGUGAGGUAACGGCUCACCUAAGCUUCGAUAGAUAGGGGUCCUGAGAGGGAGACCCCCCACACUGGUACUGAGACACGGACCAGACUUCUACAGAAGGCAGCAGUAAGGAAUAUUGGACAAUGGAGGCAACUCUGACCCAGCCAUGCCGCGUGAAGGAAGAAGGCCCUAUGGGUCGUAAACUUCUUUUAUACAGGAAGAAAUCUUUCCACGUGUGGAAAGUUGACGGUACUGUAAGAAUAAGGAUCGGCUAACUCCGUGCCAGCAGCCGCGGUAAUACGGAGGAUCCAAGCGUUAUCCGGAAUUAUUGGGUUUAAAGGGUCCGCAGGCUGUUUGUUAAGUUAGAGGUGAAAUCCUACCGCUCAACGGUAGAACUGCCUUUAAAACUGGCAGACUUGAGUUAUUGUGAAGUAAUUAGAAUGUGUAGUGUAGCGGUGAAAUGCAUAGAUAUUACACAGAAUACCGAUUGCGAAAGCAGAUUACUAACAAUUAACUGACGCUGAGGGACGAAAGCGUGGGUAGCGAACAGGAUUAGAUACCCUGGUAGUCCACGCCGUAAACGAUGGUCACUAGCUGUUUGAUGUACAUUGGUACAUUGAGUGGCUAAGCGAAAGUGAUAAGUGACCC
rnacentral:rRNA from 1 species